GACGAACGCUGGCGGCGUGCUUAACACGUGCAAGUCGAGCGGUAAGGCCCUUUCGGGGUACGACGAGCGGCGAACGGGUGAGUAACACGUGGGUGACCUGCCCUCAGCUCUGGGAUAAGCCUGGGAAACCGGGUCUAAUACUGGAUAUGACUCCAUGACGCAUGUUGGUGGGGUGGAAAGCCUUGUGCGGCUGAGGAUGGGCCCGCGGCCUAUCAGCUUGUUGGGUGGGGUGANGGGCCCUACCAAGGCGACGACGGGUAGCCGGCCUGAGAGGGCGACCGGCCACACUGGGACUGAGACACGGGCCCAGACUCCUACGGGAGGCAGCAGUGGGGAAUCUUGCGCAAUGGGCGAAAGCCUGACGCAGCGACGCCG
rnacentral:rRNA from 1 species